rnacentral:rRNA from 1 species
AGCAGCCGCGGUAAUUCCAGCUCCAAUAGCGUAUAUUAAAGUUGUUGCAGUUAAAAAGCUCGUAGUUGAAUUUCGGGAUCAAUAUGUCGGUCGUGCCUCGGUACGUACUGGCGUCAUUGGUUUCUCCCUUCUGAAGAACCUUGAUGUCAUUAAUUUGGUGCCCUGGGGAAUCAGGACUGUUACUUUGAAAAAAUUAGAGUGUUUAAAGCAGGCUCGCGCUUGAAUACAUUAGCAUGGAAUAAUGAAAUAGGACGUUUGAUUCUAUUUUGUUGGUUUCUAGGAUCGACGUAAUGAUUAAUAGGGAUAGUUGGGGGCAUUAGUAUUCAAUUGUCAGAGGUGAAAUUCUUGGAUUUAUUGAAGACUAACUACUGCGAAAGCAUUUGCCAAGGAUGUUUUCAUUAAUCAAGAACGAAAGUUAGGGGAUCGAAGACGAUCAGAUACCGUCGUAGUCUUAACCAUAAACUAAGCCGACUAGGGAUCGGAUGAUGUUAAUUUUUUAAUGACUCAUUCGGCGCCUUAA